GGAAAUGUGCCUGAACUGCUAAGGACCACUUUGAUAGAGUGAACUACGUGGGUUAAAACCCCUCCAUUUCCU
rnacentral:tRNA from 1 species